rnacentral:lncRNA from 1 species
UGGCUGUCUCCCAGCAGGGUGAGAGGAAGUUCUGCGCACUUCAAUUGCUGCAAUGACUUGAUCCUGCCAGAAACCCAGGGAAGCAUCCCAAGCCAGCUCUGCCUGUUGCUGGUUGUGUGCUUUGCCAAGUCUCCUCACCCACUGGAAUCUCUACUACUUUAUCUCUAAAAUGUCAGCAAGAGUUUGCCCUUUAGCUGAGUGUGUGCUGCAUGCAAGGCUGAACCACGUGCAAGUUAAGACAUAGCAUUCAUCCCCAUAGGAGAAGAUACAGCACGGUGCGAUGUGCUGUUUAUGUCUGGAAGCCUGAGACACUCUGCUCUGCAAAAGCAAGGAAUUCUGCACCUCCCAACACACUGGAGUAGAGUUGAAGCUAGGACUAUGCGACCUGGCUUUUUAACCCAGGACAAGCUCAUAAAAAAGAUGAAAGGGAAAUUUUCUGUCAAGUCAAACAUCAAGGACCUUCCCCACCCUUCUGCUGGGUUUUUGGGGGCACCACCCUGAAAAGGAGAUUCACGGGCAGGGAGAUUUUUGAGCCAAACAGAGCAUCACCUAUGAACAAGUAAAAGAAGCAAGACUCAGAGAGGUGGGGACCACAGCACCAUUGUCAUGGGAACCACAAUCUGACAACUCCAGAACAAAGUAUUCUUUCCUCCAGCAUCAAGGCACAAGUCUUAGAGCAUGUCUUUGACACCUAAAGAAUAAAGGGACAGAGAGUUCCGGGUCUUUGGCAGCAAGCCUGUCCAUUCAUACCCUUACUUCAGCUCUACACUGUUGUGGCCAGCUGGAUGUGCCAAACCCAAGACUCUCCAAACCCAAGAUCGCUCACUCCCUUCUUCAUCUGUAACAUGUCUGCCCCCUCUUGGUGAGAACACACUCUUUCUCACUCCCAUAAAUCAUCCUCAGAAUCCAGUCCCCUUCCCAAGGCCAACUUCAAAACCCUUACUACACCAGCAAUCUUGAGACCUUUAAUCUCCUCAUGGUACAAAUGUUGUGUUAAUCCAAUGAUACGUUUCACAACCUUUUUAAAGACAUCAUAUCUAGAAGCUAUCACGUAUCGGGUACGGGAGGUAGAGACAUGUGAAAUAAAAUUAACCAAGCCAGCUUGGUUAUUAUGGUCAAUAGCUUGGAUAGCAUGUAUUUCCACAUAACAGUUCCUCAUUCUUUAGUAUUCAUUUGCUUGUUUUAGCUGAUGUCUCAGGCAAUUCCAUCACCAUCACUGAACUUUGGGCUACAUGAUCACCAAAGAUCCAUUCUCAUGCAGUAGUCUUAGAUGUUAUAAUUGCCUUGUUAGCUUUCAGUGAUCACUUUUGUUCUUCAUAAUUGUCAUCCAGAGAUCCCUGGAUGUCUCUCUUAGCUUCAGAGAAUCUGGGGCAGAAGUUUGGAAUUGGUGCACAAUAGCAUCCCUGUAUCUGCUGACUACGGUGGUCAGUGUGAUACCCAAGUCGGUGAAAAGCCAACCCAUGGCCUCUUACUUACUCUUCUCUCCCCAUCUGAGAAGCAGGGAGGCUGUUCCAGUGUUCACAAAGGUGCCUUCAAGAGCUCACGUCAUAUCUGACCCACAGUGACUCACUCACACUCUCUCACAGGAACACACUGUGUUCUACAAGGACACGGCUGCCAAACCACCUGGCAGAGGAAAACAAACACUCAGCCACUCCCAGCCUCACCCCAGGGGGACAUGCUGAGAGCCCCCGAAGGCUUGAGAGUCAGUUGCUGGCCAUGAUUUUCAGCAUAAACACAAGAGCCAGUUGAACAAACAACUGUAGAAGUGGGUAGCAGCCAGCCCUGCUUGAAAAUCACUCGCCUCCCUCCCUCUGUGGGAGGCUUUGUUCCCUAACUCCCCAUUUCCUAGUCAUGGCCACUAUUGAGCAGAUUGAAUGAAGCACAGCCAAAGUGCUAUGAUGAGUCUUCUUCAGACUUGGCAUAUGUGUUAGGCAGGUACUCAUUGCUGGAAGAAAUCAAUGGAAGACAAUUCAGUCAAAUGACUUAGGUUGCCGCAAGCAGCUAUUGGAUGAGCUAUUUAGAUCGCCAUCUUCAUAGUCGAAUAUACACAUCAUGGUUUCUGUCUCGGUUCAUGCUUGUCCUAGUUAGUUUUAAAUGUCAACUUGACAUGGCCUAGGGUCUCAGUUGAGGGACUUUCCAGAUCAGAUUGGCCUGUGAGCAUGUCUGUGAGGAAUGCCAUUGAUUGGUAACUUAUUUAACAGGGCUCAGUCCCCAGUGGUCAACACCAAACCCAAGAAGGUAGUCCUGGACUAAGCUUGCUAACCACAAGCCUUCAAGCAAGCCAAUCAUAGCAUUUCUCCAUGGUUUCUGAUUUAGGUUUCUGCUUGAGUUCCUGCCUUGACUUCCCUCGAUGGUGGACUAUGACCUGGAAGUAUAUAAGCCAAAUAAACUCUACCUUUCUACAAAA